CCCAACGUUUUAACUUUAUAAAGAAGUCAACGUAAAGAUAAUUGACAUGGAUUUGUUCUCUAGACAUUGACUGUAUACAUGUAAUGUACACACGGAGUUAACGCGCAUUUGAGAAAAAAGGCGCAUAUCUUAGCGUUUACGUUCUGACUAAAAAUAUUGUCACUUUUUGUUUAUGCUACCAUAAUUUUUUUUUUUUUUUUUUUUUGGUAAAAUGUUAAAUAUUAUACCAAGUUUUCAAGUUUGUGACAGAAAUUACAAAGACAACUAGUAACGGAUUACGGAAAUUAAACUAAACAUCAAAACCUAAUACGGAAAAUUCAAACUUUGAUUACAAACAUGAUUUGAACAAAAUGAUCUACAUCUAACUAAACAUCUUUAGCUUCGCUCGACCACCUCUAAACCGGCGCAAUCCGCUAAAUAGUUCAAUUAUCCUUAGACUAUCAAUCCCCGUUCUCAACCAUUGAUAGAAAGCAUUCAAGGGUGGCGUUCACCAAGUUUCCUUGGUUGCCGGUUCAUCUUAUGCCAUCAACAGAGUAGCUGGAUCUUGAUGAUCUCCUCACGCUUGCAAUCUCAGCUGAAUUAAGCGCAUAGUUGAGUGAAUAGACCCGAGAGUUCAUACCUGAACCAACCGGACUGGACGCCAUGGCGUGAGCACUCAACACCUAACAAGACCGGUUGAACUGUAGCUGCCUUGUCUGGUCGUAGCAGUACCUGCAGUAAGAAGAAAGAAGGCAUCCUACCGAAGCUUGCAAGGACAAACUUCAAUACUGGGAUGGAAAACACUCCAAG
rnacentral:lncRNA from 1 species